rnacentral:rRNA from 1 species
UACGUAGGUGGCAAGCGUUAUCCGGAAUGAUUGGGCGUAAAGGGUGAGCAGGCGGUUCUUCAAGUCAUGAGUGAAAGGCAGAAGCUUAACUUCUGUUGGCUGAUGAGACUGGAGAACUUGAGUACAGGAGAGGGCGGCGGAACUCCAUGUGUAGCGGUAAAAUGCGUAGAGAUAUGGAAGAACACCAGUGGCGAAGGCGACUUACUGGACUGUAACUGACGCUGAGGCAUGAGAGCAUGGGGAGCAAACAGG